rnacentral:rRNA from 1 species
GACGAACGCUGGCGGCGUGCUUAACACAUGCAAGUCGAACGGCAAGGCCCUGCUUUUGUGGGGUGCUCGAGUGGCGAACGGGUGAGUAACACGUGAGUAACCUGCCCUUGACUUUGGGAUAACUUCAGGAAACUGGGGCUAAUACCGGAUAGGAGCUCCUGCUGCAUGGUGGGGGUUGGAAAGUUUCGGCGGUUGGGGAUGGACUCGCGGCUUAUCAGCUUGUUGGUGGGGUAGUGGCUUACCAAGGCUUUGACGGGUAGCCGGCCUGAGAGGGUGACCGGCCACAUUGGGACUGAGAUACGGCCCAGACUCCAACGGGAGGCAGCAGUGGGGAAUAUUGCACAAUGGGCGGAAGCCUGAUGCAGCAACGCCGCGUGCGGGAUGACGGCCUUCGGGUUGUAAACCGCUUUCGCCUGUGACGAAGCGUGAGUGACGGUAAUGGGUAAAGAAGCACCGGCUAACUACGUG